rnacentral:rRNA from 1 species
UACGUAGAUGGCAAGCGUUGUCCGGAAUUAUUGGGCGUAAAGCGCGCGCAGGCGGUCCUUUAAGUCUGAUGUGAAAGCCCACGGCUCAACCGUGGAGGGUCAUUGGAAACUGGGGGACUUGAGUACAGAAGAGAAGAGUGGAAUUCCACGUGUAGCGGUGAAAUGCGUAGAGAUGUGGAGGAACACCAGUGGCGAAGGCGACUCUUUGGUCUGUAACUGACGCUGAGGCGCGAAAGCGUGGGGAGCAAACAGG